GACGAACGCUGGCGGCGUGCUUAACACAUGCAAGUCGAACGGAAAGGCCCUGCUUUUGUGGGGUGCUCGAGUGGCGAACGGGUGAGUAACACGUGAGUAACCUGCCCUUGACUUUGGGAUAACUUCAGGAAACUGGGGCUAAUACCGGAUAGGAGCUCCUGCUGCAUGGUGGGGGUUGGAAAGUUUCGGCGGUUGGGGAUGGACUCGCGGCUUAUCAGCUUGUUGGUGGGGUAGUGGCUUACCAAGGCUUUGACGGGUAGCCGGCCUGAGAGGGUGACCGGCCACAUUGGGACUGAGAUACGGCCCAGACUCCUACGGGAGGCAGCAGUGGGGAACAUUGCACAAUGGGCGGAAGCCUGAUGCAGCAACGCCGCGUGCGGGAUGACGGCCUUCGGGUGGUAAACCGCUUUCGCCUGUGACGAAGCGUGAGUGACGGUAAUGGGUAAAGAAGCACCGGCUAACUACGU
rnacentral:rRNA from 1 species